ensembl:lncRNA
UUUUUUUUUUUUUUUUUUUUUUAGAGUAAAAACUGUAUCUUCUAUGAUGGGCUCAUGUGAUCAUUUACUCCUAGGGAAGUAAUUUAUACCACAUUUAAUUUUCUCAAUCAGUCAUUAUUUAGAGCACACAUACAAUUCACUGACUGAUGAGACUGGUACCAUCUUUAUCCAAAGAUAAAAUUAAGUGGUCAUAUCAGUGUGGUUGUAAGAUGUUCCUCACAAGAAAAUGCAUCCAGAGUUCCCAUCGUGCCUCAGUGGUUAACAAAUCUGACUGGGAACAAUGAGGUUGUGGGUUCGAUCCCUGGCCUCGCUCCGUGGGUGAAGGAUCCGGCAUUGCCGUGAGCUGUGGUGUAGGUUGCAGAUGCAGCUUGGAUCCCGUGUUGCUGUGGCUCUGGUGUAGGCUGGCGGCUACAGGCUCCGAUUGGACCCCUAGCCUGGGAACCUCCACAUGCUGCGAGAGCGGCCCAAGAAAUGGCAGAAAGACAAAAAAAAAGAAAAAGAAAAAGAAAAGAAAAGAAAAUGCAUCCGAAGGCAGCAGAGACAAGGGCUUUUGGAGUCAGAGCUGGGUCAAAUUCCAAUUCUCCUACUUGCUAGCUGCAUGACCUGGGGUAAAUCAUUUACUCUUUCUGAUCCCGUAUUUCCUCAACCGUAAAUCAGAGAUGAUGACAGUGCCAUCAGGAUGUUGGUGAGGAUUCAAUGUGAUGAUGUUUGUAAAAGGAAACAUGCAGAAGAAACACAGGGCACUCAACAGGAAACUGUUUCUCCUGACCACACAUGGGAGACUGGACGACUGAAGGGCAUUUCAGAAACUUCUCCCGAGAUAGUGGAGACAACGACGAGUUGGGAUCGCUGAGCUGGUCAUCUCAGCUGGUCUGAAAUCUCCUUGUGGGACAAGCAGGGAGGCUGUCCUGAAGACUGUGAUGUCUGGAGUUCCCACUGUGGCACAAAGGGAUGAGUGGCAUCUCAGCAGACCCAGGACGCAGGUUUGAUCCCAGGCCCGGCACAAUGCCGGCGUUGCGACAGUUGGGGUGUAGGUUGCUACUGCGGCUACAUCCUGAUACCUGGCCUGGGAACUCCAUCUGCUGUGGGGUGGCCAACAAAGAAAAAGAAAAAAGAAAAAAAGAUUGUGCUGUGUUACAGGAGAGCUCUGGGUGCUGGUCCACAGGGCCUGUCCUGCUGAGCUACUUGGGAGGGUGUGGCCUGCUCUAAGAACUCUCCUAACAGAUGCCAGUUUCAGCUGGACCCCUCUCAUAGUUACCAUUCAGGAAAAGGGUCCAGGGAGGACAAGGGACAUUCCCGGAGUCACAAAGGGGGUCUGUGGCAAGGCUGGGCUACCACCAGGCCUCUGACCCUUGAUCUGGGGCUCUCCAGCUACCCUGCCUACCACCUGUUUCGCAAGCCCCAUCCAAUGACUGUAAGGACAGCAGAGGGACUGGGGAGUUGGGGGUGGUGGGAAGAGAGGCAAAGGAGGCCUGCCUGCCAUUUUUGGGAAUUCCAAGAACAGGGGCUGAGGGGGACCACAGGAAAACAACGCAUGUCUACACAGCCCUCCAUCUUCCAGGUGGAGAAGUGCAGUGGGGCCAGGCACCGCCAUGCUGUUCAGGCCUGGAUGGCCUUUCUGGCCUGGGUCUUGGGAGUGAAGGCUUUCUGUGCUCUCUGACCUGCAAGUGGGACCCUGGACAUGAUAAAAACAAGCUCCAGGCCAGAGUCGGGAAAAAUCGACUUAGGCAGAAGCCGCUGCCUGCCAAGUGGGAGACUUUAGACACAGGGGACGUUCCGUCCUGAGUCAUAGCUUCCUGGCCGCCACCCUGGGGCCAAAUCUGUUGACUUUUCAAGAUGGUGAGCGGGGGACGGGGGGCAGGGGCGGUUGAGAGGGCUUUGGUUUGUAAAAUAGCAAAAGCACCUGCCCAGCCCACAGGAUUGAUGUGUACCAGACUCUCCACAACUUUCUCUCUAAAGGCUUAAAAGAUCUGUAAAGAGGCUCUGGGAUCGAGCUGUAGCCCAGGCUUUAAAGCGGAAGGCACCCUGUUUUGCGGCACCCGCAGCAUAUGGAAGUUCCCAGAGUAGGGGUCGAAUUGGAGCUGCCGCCACAGCAGCGUGGGAUCUGAGCUGCAGAGGUGACCUACACGGCAGCUGGCAGCAAUGCCGGACCCUUAACUCACUGAGCGAGGCCAAGGAUCAAACCUGCAUCCUCACGGAGACAAGUCAAUUCUUAACCUGCUGAACCACAACGGCAACUCUGAAGAACCUUGAACUUUUUCAAGGUUUGCUUCAUAUCUCCCACUCUUUUUUUUUAAAGUUUUCCAAAAUAUGAAGGAAGGACUUAGAGGCCAUGGCAGCCCACGCAGGCGUGGAGAGACCCAAUUCUGGUCUCCGGAUGGGAUGCAAACAAGCUCUGUGAUGCCAGGCAAGCUAAGGGAGUUCUCCAAACUCUGUUUCCUUUGGAGUUUGUUUAGAUUUGCGGCUGGAUUUCUUCCCCUUCCCUGAGGGGUGCUGAAGAGAGAGAUGCAGAGGUGAAAGUGCCCAGGAUUCUAGCUGGCACUCAGGAAGGCUAGGUGUCACUCUCCACCUCCCUCCACGUCUGUAGGUUGCCCAUCUUCCUUCACUCGCGGGUAAUAUAGAGCUUGAAUAGGGUGGGAAAGGGUGCGGAGACAGACGGAAAUAACAGGGGACUGGAUGCCUCCCGGCUAUUCCAGCUACACACGCGCGCAGUGCUGUGAGCUGAGCAGGUCCCUCGGGGAUGAUUACAGUUACCUGAGGAGCCUCCUUAACUCUUUCUACAGAAAGAACUUAAGGAACAGUCUAGUGCCUUAGAUGAAGGGCAGGGAUUUUCUCUUAAAUGGGGCAGCCACUCUGGAAAGAGUCUGGCAGUUCCUCAAAAAGUUAAACAUAGAUUCGCCGUAUGACCAGCAAGCCCACUCCUAAGUUUAUCCCCAAGAGAAAUAAAAACAUACAUGGAUAUAUAAACUUGUACAUAAGUGUCCCCAACAGCCAUAGUCAGGACAGCCAAUAGGCAGACAGAACCCUACAGUCCAUCAGUGGAUCAUGCAUGAACAAUACGUGCUAUAUUGAUAUCGUGGAAUAUUAUGCAGCUGUUAAAAAUGAAGUACUGGCACAGGCUACAGGUGAGGUGAACUCAAGAACACUGUGCUAAGUGAAAGAAGAAGUCAGACACAAAAGCUCACAUGUUUUAUGACUGUUUUGAUAGGAAAUGUCCAGAACAGUCAAAUCCAUAGAGACCAAAAGUAAAUGAGUGGGCAGAGAGGAACGAGAAGUGAUUAUUUAGUGGGUAUAGGGUGGAUUUCUGGGAUGAUGAGAGGGUUUUGAAACUAGAGGGAGGUUAUGGUGGUGCAACACUGCAAAUUUACCAAAUGCCAAUGAAUUAGAUCCCUCAUUUUAUUUUGUAUGGAGAGAAGAAUUGUAUAUUUUAUAUAUAUGUAUAUAUAUUUUUGCUUUUUGAGGGCUGUGCCCACAGCGUAUGGAAGUUCCCAGGCUAGGGGUUGAAUCGGAGCUACAGCCACUGGCCUACACCACAGCCACAGCAACACAGGAUCCAAGCCUCGUCUGUGAGCUACACCACAGCUCACAGCAGUGCCGGAUCCCCUAACCACUGAGCAAAGCCAGGAAUUGAAACUGCAUCCUCGUUUCCACUGAGCCACAGCGGGAAUUCCAGAAUUGUAUAUUUUAAAUGCAUAAAUGACUGUUGAGAGAGUGAUACCUCAGUUUUUUAAAUGUUUGUAAGAAAACCCCAAAAAAAACAUCAACCACAGCAAAACAAAAGCAGGGAAUGUGAGUUCACUGUGGCCUGAAGCUCGUCUCUGUCUCCUUUGGCUUGUGCAACCUUGGGAAAGUGACCCAGGCAUUCUGGGUCUCAGUUUUCCUGACUUCCAGGUGGAGAGGAUGAGAAGACCCAGGAUGGGAAGAAUCCCACGAGACGCUAGACACCAGUACAGCACCGUGUUCUGGCCCAGUGCCUGAUGGGUACACGGAGCUGGCUCUAUUACCUAAUGCCUGCCCUGACUUCGAGGUCCAGGCCCAGCCAGACCUCCCCAUCAUUACAUGCAUGUUUGGGGAGAAAUGUAAUAGUCUGAAAACCACGCUGGAACGCGUGGGAAAACAUUUAUUCUCACCACUCACGAGUGGAACUGCUAGCCCUGUGUCCUGUUGGCUUCAUUGCUCCCAGCUCCUUUUUUUAAAAUAAAAGAAUGAAGAAUCAUUUCAGAUGAAGCUGAAAUCAGUGUUGCCCUCUCUACGCGGCUUGGUGUCUCUUCUGAGCAAAGAAGCGAGUCCAUUGAAGGGUUAAUAGGUGGAGCAAUAAUUUAUUCAUUCACCUGGGCUUUAGUCAGGGCCUACCAUGAGCAAGACACAUUCUACUGGAUGCAGACAUGGCAUUACAGGGCUUCGUUUUAAUUAAUAAUUUGAGCAUGCACCAGAGGUGGCCGUUCAGAGAUGAAAAGCCAGCAGUCACCGUGUGCCCUGGUUAGCUUCCUGUGCUCAAGAAAAGCAGUGGUUUGCAUUUUGCACCUGGAUGGCCCUUAACCAGCACCCACUCAGAACACCAGUCCAUCUAACGCCUUCAAGGCAUGAGCUACCCAGCAAUUGUGCUGUUAGGAAAUUUUCAAAAUAUGGGCUAUUGCCCAAAUGGGGUGAUUUCGAACGCUCAUAGAUCUGCUAUGGGAAUCACAUUAGAUAACCUGAAAAAACAUCUGAAAGACAGAAGGCUAUACAAUCGCCCCCAGCGGCUCUCAAAGUGUGUGUGUGUGUGUGUGUGUGUGUGUGUGUGUGUGUCGGGGGAGGGGGGGUGUGACGUGAGAUGGGGCAAAGGGAAGGCAAAAGGAAACACAUCUGCAAACUCAUCAGGAUUACGACUACCCCCUUCGAGGGGAAUAAUGCAAUUCCACCUUCUCCCGUCUCGGGAAGUGCAGGCUGGAAAAGCCCGGCUGAAAUGCCCAGCUUGCUGCCAAGUUGGGAAUGGGUGAGAGGGUAGAGAGGCGAUUCAAUGCUCUGCCCCCAGAAGCGACCAAAGCUCCUUGUGAUUUCAGGUUUCCCUAAAAACCAGACCAUUUCUCUGCAUUAUGUAUUUAAAAAAAAAAAAAA